rnacentral:rRNA from 1 species
AUGGCCAGCAACAGAGAUGAGCGUGUCAUUUCUCUGAAAUUAACAUGGGCGACCGGCAACAAUUCUUUUCAAGUACUACUCGACUAUGAGGCUAAUUGGUUAGCGGCCAAAAUUUGGCGAGCCAACUAUUGGCGCGUACCAAAAAUUGGCGCGUGGGGACCUUUCCCCAAUCGCCAACCCCUGCCCCCACCACUCGUCCGCCUGCCCCUCAUAGUUCCCCCGCGAGGGUUUCCUCUCGUCUUCCUCCGCCCUAGCCGCCAUCCCCUGGCGACCCUCCCGUCCAUCACCCCUACCGUCCCCGGCGACUGGAAGCGGUUGAAGACCUCCGCGAUCUCUUGCUCCGGCAGGAAGUCCUCGACGAGCCAGACCAGAUCCGACGGAGAAAUCAGCAAGAGAGAAGAGAGAAAGAAACGUCUCAAGUAUGCUCCACUUGUCAAGAGGGAUAUUUGGAGGAGUGGUGAACUAAUUAGGCUGAUUGACACCUUAGAAACGACAUGUUUGCGCCAGCUGAGGAUGUAUCCAGCUGUUUUCUACAAGCUGCGUGCUCACCUUAGAGACAAAAAGCUUUUGGUUGACACAGUUCAUGUGUCCGUGGAGGAGCAGGGAUGUAUAGGGACACUAGAUGGCACCCAUAUCAGGGCACGUGUGUCUUCAAAAUAUGUGGACCGGUUUAGGGGCCGCAAGCCAUAUCCCACACAAAAUGUCCUAGCUGCCGUGGACUUUGAUCUUAGAUUCACAUAUGUUCUAGCAGGCUGGGAGGGAUCAGCUCAUGAUUCUGCCGUAUUGCACGAUGCCCUAUCUCGUCCAAACGGUCUCAAAAUUCCAGAAGGAAAGUAUUAUUUGGCUGAUGCUGGGUAUGCCACCAGGAAGGGCAUAUUGCCGCCCUAUCGAGGUGUUCGCUAUCACCUACAGGAGUUUCAAGGUAACCCCCCAUGUCGACGCCCCCCGAGGCACAAACCCCUUCCAAAGCCUUACCUUUCCCUUUCGUUCUCCCAUGUCCUCCUCCUCCUCCUCGACGUCUCCGAGGCGACGCCGUCGUGGAGCUCAUCGGUGACGAGAGAGGGCGCCAUGAAGCCACGGCGAAGGGAACCCGACGAGUUCCCUCCUGAAUAUGGGGGUUCGAGAGGGGGGGGGUCAAUCGAGGGCAAUGUGAGGGGAUUUUUAGAUGUGAUUUUCACUACCGCCAUACAGGGGAAGGGGAAUUAUUUAUUGUACAUAGGGAAUGCACCGCCCGCUCCUCCCGCUUUUGUCCCAGCACCGCCUGCUCCUCUCCGGCACAUCCAGUCCGCCAUGCCGCUCUCAUACGUGUAUGAGGCCAUCCCCGAGCUACUGCAGCCGGUGGGAUCUGUCUCACCGGAGGUCCUAGAGGCAACGAGGGCACUCCGAUGGAAGGAGAGGGCAACACGGAUCCACGACGACGCCCGAGCUUGGUCGCAGAGCGUUGGGGAGUGUAAGAGAGUUCAGGCGGAGAUGGAGGCAGAUGCAACUAUCUCCCGUGUCCGACGGGAAGGGUGCAUUGAAAUUGCCAAGAAGCACGCCGAUUGGGAGCUGCGCAAUUGGGGUCAAAGAAUCCACUUUGAGAGCUCAGCGGAGGAGCGAGCUAGGAUGUCGCCCCCAACUGCACCGGUAUUGGAGAUCAUCAACUGGGCAAGGGAGGAGGCAAGAAGGCCACGGGACAAGGCGAGGUGGGAGUGCUUGGCUGGUCGGAUGCCGACCAGUGCUCCGCCGCAGCCUGAACCGGUGGAUCCGCCGUCGUUUCUGUCUCCACGGCCAGGGCUAAGCUACGACGAGCUCUGA